UACGGAGGGUGCGAGCGUUGUCCGGAAUCACUGGGCGUAAAGGGCGCGUAGGCGGCCACCGCAAGUCGGUUGUGAAAUCUCCGGGCUUAACCCGGAACGGUCAAUCGAUACUGCGGGGCUAGAGUGCAGAAGGGGCAACUGGAAUUCUCGGUGUAGCGGUGAAAUGCGUAGAUAUCGAGAGGAACACCUGCGGCGAAGGCGGGUCUCUGGGCCGAUACUGACGCUGAGGAGCGAAAGCGUGGGGAGCGAACAGG
rnacentral:rRNA from 1 species